rnacentral:rRNA from 1 species
UUGGACCUGAUAUCAAGCAAGUA